rnacentral:lncRNA from 1 species
CGGGGGGGCACUCUUCAGGACAGGCAUUCAUACAUGCAUCGAAUGAGGAACCGACGUAAAGUCCUUUUGCUCUACCUUCUUCACAUACCUCCUUGCAUAUUUUCAGGCAGUUAUUAGCUUUGGCCACGGUAACAAGUGAUCCCAUGGUAACCAGACAAAUUACUAACAAACCUACAAGAACCGGCUUCUUAUCCAUCCUGAUCACUGGUGUAUAUAUAAUAUACUCUUUCUUUUGGAACUUAUUAUUCA